rnacentral:tRNA from 1 species
GGGCUAUUAGCUCAGCUGGGAGAGCACCUCCCUUACAAGGAGGGGGUCGGCGGUUCGAUCCCGUCAUCACCCACCA